rnacentral:tRNA from 1 species
GGUUGUGACUUAGUGGUAGAGCACUUGCCUAGCAUGCAUGAGGCACUGGGUUCAAUCCCUGGCACCA